rnacentral:rRNA from 1 species
GAUGAACGCUGGCGGCGUGCCUAAUACAUGCAAGUCGAGCGAACAGAUAAGGAGCUUGCUCCUUUGACGUUAGCGGCGGACGGGUGAGUAACACGUGGAUAACCUACCUAUAAGACUGGGAUAACUUCGGGAAACCGGAGCUAAUACCGGAUAACAUAGUGAACCGCAUGGUUCAAUAGUGAAAGGCGGCUUUGCUGUCACUUAUAGAUGGAUCCGCGCCGGAUUAGCUAGUUGGUAAGGUAACGGCUUACCAAGGCAACGAUACGUAGCCGACCUGAGAGGGUGAUCGGCCACACUGGAACUGAGACACGGUCCAGACUCCUACGGGAGGCAGCAGUAGGGAAUCUUCCGCAAUGGGCGAAAGCCUGACGGAGCAACGCCGCGUGAGUGAUGAAGGUCUUCGGAUCGUAAAACUCUGUUAUCAGGGAAGAACAAAUGUGUAAGUAACUGUGCACAUCUUGACGGUACCAGAACAGAAAGCCCCGGCUAACUACGUG